CCCCUCGUUCUCCGGCCCCUGUAAAGCUCCCUCCACAUAACGUAAGAGAACCUGUAAAGUUGGAAGUGUUCCACAGGCCAAAGCGGGUCUGUGCUGCUUAUUUUAGGGAGGGUAUUGUCCACCCUGGCCAUGCGUCUGAGCCGGGGGCAGAGCCCUGUAGAAACAGGGCAGCUGUGGGCUCAGCUCUUGCCCUGCCCCAGUUCAUCGCCUCCCUCCCGCGCAAACACGCCUUAUCAGAAAGCGGAGGCUUUCUGGGGUUCCUGCCCCUCUCCACGCAUUCGAACUCUCAAGAGGCCCAGAAGUCCCACAGUAACGGCAGCAUGUUCGCCCGUGGAGCUGGGACCCAGCCCGUCCUCGCCGCUCCUGUUCCGUCUUGCUCCCACACGGUGGCCGCAGAGGACGCAGCAUCCGCGCCAUGGGCUGGGAGGGGCUGACUGCAGGCUGCAGGGUCCACGGAAGUUUCCAGAGGAAAGUGGGUGCUUCUCCUGGCACGGCUUGAAACCCCCGCACGCUGCACUCCUUCCUGUCCUGCACUCAUUUGGGAACCAAGCGACAUUUCUUAUCCUCAUCUCCGCUUGGCCUCUGUGGCCACCCGGUCACGUGGUCUGGAGACACCAUCUCCCGAGUAAAGAGAAACGUGAAGCCCCUUUCAAGCACGAGCCGAUUCCUUUUCCCGUCAGCUCUGCUGAGUGGCCACAACACGACUGAUCGUUACGCUAAAUGGAAGCACAGGGUGCGCGGGCUCCGCGGUUCUUCCUGUGCAUUUAGCGCCGUCCCACGGAAACGCAACCCUCCGGCUCGACCGGAACAGCACUUUUCUGUCGCUCAUCUGAUGAUGUUCCAUUGUAUCUCAAACACAGAUUCGUCCCCAUCAGACCAGUGCAGGCCGGCUCUGGUUCAUUUUGAUGUCACCUCCUCAUUUCCUACGACCAUAAACUUCCUUCCUGACAAACAAGAUGUUCUAGUCUCCUCCUUAUGUGGGCUCGAGUGAAGCCAGUCCACAAACUGUGACUUAAACGUUUCCACACGCAGUCCAGGGGCAUUUAGUUCAUUCACAGUGUUGCGCAAACACCGCUUCCCUCUCCAGAAAUACUUUCAUCAUCCUAAAGGGAAAACUCCCGUGGUCUCACAGUUUUGCCAACUAGAAACCAGCCUCCCCUUCCCACUCACAGGGCCUGCCAAAGGAGGGCUCCCUCAGGGUGUGGGCUUAUCCAGGGCGAGGUCCCCUGGAAGCCCUGCCCUGCAACCGGUCACGUGGGCCAGCUUGCUGCUGGCUACUUGUACCAACACACUGACUCCAGCUGGGACGGGCUCUGGGGAAGCUGAGUCAGGACUCUCUCUUUCCCAAGGCCUGCUGUAGAUAAGCGACCCCU
rnacentral:lncRNA from 1 species